rnacentral:lncRNA from 1 species
GAGAGUUUUGAACAAAGCUUUAUAUUAAAAGGAAUAAUUACCCAAAAAAUCGAGAAGAAAUCAGUAUGGAAAUUAUAAAUAUCGUAUAUCUUCUUAACUGGUUCUUAAUUUGACUUAUGAACUGUGGUAAUCAUAAAUUUGUCAAUUAAGUUAUUCGUUUUAUACAAAGAUCUUUGUGAUCUUUCUCAAAUAAUUAAUUUAUAUGAUCCCAACUACGUAUAGACAUAAUUAUUUGUUUUGCUUGGACUUACUUACACGGAAAUAUAAUCUCAACUCUCACAUUAGGAGUAUUGUCGGAUGCUAUUAUUUUCCAAGAAUCAACAGGGUGGUCAAAUGGGGUUGUCUGAUAUCUGAUAUGUCGGCAUCUGUUUUUCGUGAGUUUUAUUCUCUAUUUGUAUCGUUUUGUAGUCGAUGGUAACGCUAUCUUCAUGAGAGAGACAUGCAUUGUCGCUUCAAGGUCUGCUUGAUUUACUUGUAUUCUAUUUAUUUUGUCUACGUCUGACUUAUCCGAGUGCCAGUGAACAAAUUUUGUUUAAUUUGAUUAUUUACCGUAAUUAAUGUCUCAUUUUUCUGAAAGAACGAUUUGUUACUACUGCUUCUCUUAUCACAUUAGGCAGAUAAAUCCUAAGGGGUGGACGUAGUUUUCGGUACUUUACGCAAAUAUAAUUUAUAAACGUUAAUUUGUAUAACAGUAGUAGAUAUCUAAUCGGACUUUAAACUUACUUUUCAUCUGGAAGAAAAAAUAAACUUAAUCUCUUUAAAGAAAAGCAGAUGCAGCUGUAUUGUUUUACAUUAGUGACUAUAGAAAUUAUGACAAGAUUUUUUUUUUUUUUUUUUUUUUUUUCUA